AUUGAACGCUGGCGGCAUGCCUAACACAUGCAAGUCGAGCGGAGCGGCGGACGUGUCAGUAAUGCCUAGGAAUCUGCCUUGUAGUGGGGGAUAACGUCCGGAAACGGGCGCUAAUACCGCAUACUAUCAGAUGAGCCUAGGUCGGAUUGGCUAGUUGGUGGGCUAAAGGCCUACCAAGACGACGAUCCGUAACUGGUCUGAGAGGAUGAUCAGUGACACUGGAACUGAGAGACGGGCCAGAGUCCUACGGGAGGAAGCGGUGUGGAAUAUUGGACAAGGGGAGAAGGGCUGAUCCAGCCAUGCCGCGUGUGUGAAGAAGGGAUUCGGAUUGUAGGGCACUUUAAGUUGGGCGGCGUUACCAACAGAAUAAGCACCGGCUAACUUCGUGCCAGCAGCCGCGGUAAUUC
rnacentral:rRNA from 1 species